AUUGAACGCUGGCGGAAUGCUUUACACAUGCAAGUCGAACGGUAGAGGGGGCAACCCCUUGAGAGUGGCGAACGGGUGAGUAAUAUAUCGGAACGUGCCCAGUCGUGGGGAUAACGUAGCGAAAGUUACGCUAAUACCGCAUACGAUCUACGGAUGAAAGCGGGGGACUCGCAAGAGCCUCGCGCGAUUGGAGCGGCCGAUAUCAGAUUAGGUAGUUGGUGGGGUAAAGGCUCACCAAGCCAACGAUCUGUAGCUGGUCUGAGAGGACGACCAGCCACACUGGAACUGAGACACGGUCCAGACUCCUACGGGAGGCAGCAGUGGGGAAUUUUGGACAAUGGACGCAAGCCUGAUCCAGCAAUGCCGCGUGAGUGAUGAAGGCCUUAGGGUUGUAAAGCUCUUUUACCCGGGAUGAUAAUGACAGUACCGGAGAAUAAGCUCCGGCUAACUCCGUGCCAGCAGCCGCGGUAAAGUGACUACU
rnacentral:rRNA from 1 species